rnacentral:lncRNA from 1 species
AUGGCUAAAUACACCAAGUUGGUUGGGACUGUCAAGAAACAUGGGAUCUGCUAUGGUGCCUCCCUCCAGAAAAUGGUGAAGAAAAUUGAAAUUAGCCAUCAUGCCAAGUACAUUUGGUCCUUCUGUGGCACUGUGGUUCCUGCAUGAAAACAAUGGCAAGCCUGGACCUGCAACAACACUUCUACCAUCUUGCCUGCCAUCAGAAGACUCAGGGAACUGAAAGAUCAG